AACCCUAAAAAGUUCUAAGGGUAUAAAGGUUUGGUCCUGGCCUUACUAUCAACUGUUUCCCAACUUACACAUGCAAGUCUCAGCACACCCGUGAGAACGCCCUUUUAACCUUCACCAGGUAAAGGAGCUGGUAUCAGGCACAGAUUCCUUGCCCACAACACCUAGUCUCACCACACCCACAAGGGUACUCAGCAGUGAUUAACUUUGCGCAUAAGCGACAGCUUGACUCAGUUAGGGAAAACAGGGCCGGCUAACACGGUGCCAGCCGCCGCGGCUACACCGUGGGCUCAAGUUGAUAAUCACCGGCGUUAAGCGUGAUUAAAGUUCUCUAAAAUUAGGGCCGAAUUAACACUUAGUAGUUUUAUGCUUGUUGUUAAGAAGUACACAAACGAAAGUUGCCCUAUAUUACCUUGAAUACACGACAGCUAGAAAACAAACUGGGAUAUG
rnacentral:rRNA from 1 species